rnacentral:rRNA from 1 species
UACAGAGGUCUCGAGCGUUGUUCGGAUUCAUUGGGCGUAAAGGGUGCGUAGGUGGCAGGGUAAGUCGGAUGUGAAAUCCCGGGGCUCAACCUCGGAACUGCAUUCGAUACUGCUUUGCUUGAGUACUGGAGAGGAGAUUGGAAUUUACGGUGUAGCAGUGAAAUGCGUAGAGAUCGGGAGGAAGGCCGGUGGCGAAGGCGGCGCUCUGGAACGUACCUGACGCUGAGACACGAAAGCGUGGGGAGCAAACAGG